AAAAAAGAAACUCAAAACAAAAAGAAGACUCUGUUUGGUGGCUUUAGGAAACGUGCAAUCUGAAUCUACAAUGGCUGUUUUUGACCUAAUCCUUGUUCAUUAAUCUGACUCCUUUGCCAACCAGUUUUCCUUCAUUUUCCCCUAUUGUGACUCUCUCUUCUUACCACCCAAACAGAGCAUAAACGAUCUCUUACUCUCUCUCUGAUGUGGUAAUUUGCUCUUUUAGUUGUAGAAUUUGCUUUUUCAAUUUUGGCAAUUAGAGUUCAGUAUUUUGAUUGAGAAUAUGUCUCUGGGAUUUCUUUAUUUUUGAUUGGAGUGUUUGCG
rnacentral:misc_RNA from 1 species